UUGCUUCACAGAAGGCCUGAGCUGGGAGGGGUUAGUCCCUUUAAGGGAGCUUUUAAAGAUUCCCCUUCCACUCCUGGGCAGGAGAUGGAGGCGAGGGCUAAUUCGGUAAAUCCUAGCGUGGGUGAAACCCUACUUCAUCCUCACAGAAAUGAAUCUUCAGGCCACAAGAGUGCUACAUCAUUUGCCGUUUACAUGUGGACCCUAAACGAUCCUUUGCUUGGGAAUAAUGAAACUGGAAGAGUGCAAAUUAAACCCUGAAGGCAGCAUCCAAAAGUAAGAAGACUAAGCAGAUUUCACUUUUCGGCAAAAAUUAUACAACAGCUUCCCCAUCUUCAAAACGGUCUCUCAAUCAACAAGGCUGCAAUCAAGGUAUCAACCAGGGACAGGGUCUCAUCUAAGGCUCAACUGGGGAAGAACACUUCCAAACUCACAUAGUUGUCGGCAGGAUUCAGUUCUUAGUGACAGUCAAACUAAGGGGUUCACCUUGCUGCUGGCUGUCAGCUGGAACCCAUUCUCAGUUCUUUGCCACGUGGGUCUCUCCAUAUGGUGGGUUACUUCAUCAGAGCCAGCAAACAAGAGUCAAUAGAGUCUACCAGCAAGAUGGAAAUUACAAUCUAUGUCAUAUAAUUGUGGAAGUGGCAUCCCAUCACCUUUGCCAUAUUCUGUUGGGUAGAAGGAAGUCACAGGUCCCACCCACAUUCAAAGAUUCCAAGAAGGUGUGAGGCAAGGAUUAUUGGGAGCCAUCCUAGAAACUGUCCACCACAGUACUAUCUUUGAGAUCCACUGUGUAUUUUCCACUUACAAUACCUCUCAAGUCAGAUCAACCACAUUUCGAGUACUCAGUAGCCACUGACUAGUGGCUACCAUAUUGGACAGCAGUAUUCUGUAACAGCUUAAGCCCAUACAUCUGGGAAUUACAGGAUACCUGAAAACCGGUGUAAGCAAUCAUGUGUUUAUAUGGACAACUUAAACUCAAAAGAAUUGAAAGUAUAAAAUAUAGAAGGUUAAAAACAUUUUGUUACUUUUAAUAGGUAAAGAACUUGGGACUUCCCUGGUGGUCCGGUGGUUAA